rnacentral:rRNA from 1 species
GGAAACGGGUUAAUAUUCCCGUACUUCUUACAAUUGCGAUGGGGGGACGGAGAAGGCUAGGUGGGCCUGGCGACGGUUGUCCAGGUUCAAGUGCGUAGGCUUGAGAGUUAGGUAAAUCCGGCUCUUUCUAAGGCUGAGACACGACGUCGAGCACCUACGGGUGUGAAGUCAUUGAUGCCAUGCUUCCAGGAAAAGCCUCUAAGCUUCAGAUUGUAAGGAAUCGUACCCCAAACCGACACAGGUGGUCGGGUAG